UGUGCUAAGGUAGCAUAAUAAUUAGCUUUUUAAUUGGAAGCUCGAAUGAACGACCCGCCGAAAAAUCUCCUGUCUCAGCGCUCCUAUUAACUUACUUACAGAGUAAAAACGCUCUCUUUACUUAAGAGGACGACAAGACCCUAUAAAACUUUACCCUAUUAUCGGCCUACUUAAAAUCUAACGAAAAUCAGGGUUAUACUGGGGCGAUAAUUUUACUAUAAACAAAAAUCAUCUUAACGUAUUUAACGAGAUUAACGAACACUAGUCAGUAAUAAAGAACAAGUUACUUUAGGGAUAACAGCGCAAUAUCUUCUUAGAGCCCUUAUCGACGAAGAUGAUUACGACCUCGAUGUUGAAUUGAAACCCCUGCUUAGAGCAG
rnacentral:rRNA from 1 species